UACGUAGGUGACAAGCGUUGUCCGGAUUUACUGGGCGUAAAGAGCGCGCAGGCGGUCGUUCAAGUCGAGUGUGAAAGCCCCCGGCUCAACUGGGGAGGGUCAUUCGAUACUGAUCGACUCGAAGGCAGGAGAGGGAUGUGGAAUUCCAGGUGUAGCGGUGAAAUGCGUAGAUAUCUGGAGGAACACCGGUGGCGAAGGCGGCAUCCUGGACCGGUAUUGACGCUGAGGCGCGAAAGCUAGGGGAGCAAACGGG
rnacentral:rRNA from 1 species